UCUGGCUCAGGACGAACGCUGGCGGCGUGCCUAAUACAUGCAAGUCGAGCGGAGUUGAUGAAGGUGCUUGCACCUCUGAUACUUAGCGGCGGACGGGUCGAGUAACACGUGGGUAACCUGCCUGUAAGACUGGGAUAACAUUCGGAAACGAAUGCUAAUACCGGAUACGCGAUUUGGUCGCAUGACCGAAUCGGGAAAGAUGGAGCAAUCUAUCACUUACAGAUGGACCCGCGGCGCAUUAGCUAGUUGGUGAGGUAACGGCUCACCAAGGCGACGAUGCGUAGCCGACCUGAGAGGGUGAUCGGCCACACUGGGACUGAGACACGGCCCAGACUCCUACGGGAGGCAGCAGUAGGGAAUCUUCCGCAAUGGACGAAAGUCUGACGGAGCAACGCCGCGUGAGUGAUGAAGGUUUUCGGAUCGUAAAGCUCUGUUGCCAGGGAAGAAUGCUUGGGAGAGUAACUGCUCUCAAGGUGACGGUACCUGAGAAGAAAGCCCCGGCUAACUACGUGCCAGCAGCCGCGGUAAUACGUAGGGGGCAAGCGUUGUCCGGAAUUAUUGGGCGUAAAGCGCGCGCAGGCGGCCUUGUAAGUCUGUUGUUUAAACUU
rnacentral:rRNA from 1 species